rnacentral:rRNA from 1 species
AGCGAACGCUGGCGGCAGGCCUAACACAUGCAAAUCGAACGAAGUCUUCGGACUUAGUGGCGGACGGGUGAGUAACACGUGGGAACGUGCCUUUAGGUUCGGAAUAACUCAGGGAAACUUGUGCUAACACCGAAUGUGCCCUUCGGGGGAAAGAUUUAUCGCCUUUAGAGCGGCCCGCGUCUGAUUAGCUAGUUGGUGAGGUAAAGGCUCACCAAGGCUACGAUCAGUAGCUGGUCUGAGAGGAUGACCAGCCACAUUGGGACUGAGACACGGCCCAAACUCCUACGGGAGGCAGCAGUGGGGAAUCUUGCGCAAUGGGCGAAAGCCUGACGCAGCCAUGCCGCGUGGAUGAUGAAGGUCUUAGGAUUGUAAAAUCCUUUCACCGGUGAAGAUAAUGACUGUAGCCGGAGAAGAAGCCCCGGCUAACUUCGUGCCAGCCGCCGCAGUAAGAC